CGGAGCCGCCGCGGGGCUGCGGGUUGCGGGCACGCGUGGGCUAAACCGGGGCAAAAGCGGUCCAGAUAAAGCAAGGCCUGGCCGCGGUCAGCCUUUAAAAAGGUUAAAUAAAUACGAAUGGACGAAGAUAACGCUCCCGGCCCGAUCACCCGGCGUCUAAUAAAGGCUGAUGAAAUGAAGUGGCUCGAGUCGUUCUUAGCGCUGCGCGGCGCGUACGGAAAGCACAGUUAUGUACGGCACCAACCUACACGACGAGGAAGAGGGGAUUUGUAACAGUUCAAGAGUCUGAAAGCAGAUGAAAACCGCCGUGGAUACACUGAGCUUCCCCGUUCGGCAGCGCCUCGUAACUUUCCUUGGUGCGCUUCAAAAUACAGCCACAGAAUCAAAAUGUUUUGAUGCUGAAAUAAAGGUUUUGUCUUUUAUUGAAUGUUUUAGAGCGCCUCCCAAAAUGGAAUCCAUUCCCUGGCUCAGGCCCGACCAGCAGCAGUACUACAGACAGCACUUAAUGAGAGCUCUCACAAACGCACACCCCGCUUCUCCUUACUGCUGAGAUCUGAUUUUUUCCUUGCUUAUCUGUGGCUUAACACGAAGCCCCGCUGGCCACAAGAGAAGAUGCGGGGUUGUUGCUGUUUGGUGAGACGUGCUCAAGCCGGUUGUAAGAAUUCCUGCAGCAGCAAUAAAUGCUCCAUUAAUUUGGGGGGAAUUCAGGGCAUUUUUAUUUUUUUGCCUGUUGCAAUUCAGCAGAGGAUGUUUUUGUUACAUGGAGAAAAAUACACCCAGCUCAGAUUUUUAUAGUCCGUAGUGCUGUGCUUUCAAAUAAUUCCCCCUCUUCCGUGUGAUUUGUCACCUUGCAUUAUCCUUAAGUACAAACGCAUCGCUGCUGUUUCAUCACUGAGAUUUAAUGUUUUUUAUGAGACGUUUUCACUCUGAAAAAAAACCAUAAAUCUCUAUUUAAGGGAAGAAAAAAGGAAUUAUUUUCUUUCUUUGGGUAUAAUAACCAUUUGAGUAAAAAAACGAAAAUCUCAGAUUACUUUAAUCUGGUAAUUUGGUUGUUCUAACGCCGGUAGCACUGCGUAUUCUUUUUGCAGAUACGAAGGGUCUCACAGCACUUUGUGACUUUCAGAUGGGAAUGCUCGUGUGCGUUCACUGAAAUCAUGUUGUUAAUAGAAAGAUUACUAGAAUUUGCUGCUAAUAAAGCUGAGACAUAGAACUGAGUCAAUUAUGAAGUGCUCCAAAGGUUUUUACAUUUCUCCUGCUUGCUGCCGUGGCCUGCUUUCUUCCUUAUUAUUUUUAUUUUCAAUCUCCCUGUUUUUCCCUUCUUCAGUAGGUGUAAAUAUCCGAAUACAGAUCUAUUAGAGCGAAUGUCCUUCGAUCACUGUUUGCUUUUAGGAAAUACGACUGUAGUAUCUUUGAUUUCUCCUUGAUUUUUGUGUAGGGUUUUUUUGUUUGUUUGUUUGUUAUUGUUUUUAAUUCGUUUUCUUUCCCCAUAUUGGUUUGCUGGUGUAGUUUAACAAUGCUGUAACCAGAAAGCACGCUGCUUGCUGGCUGCGGCUCUCGAUGUGAAAGGCUUUCUGUUUCUUGUGAAAUCUGGGCUUUUCUUUAUAGACAAAGGGAAGUAUUUAUGGUUUGUAAAUCGCCAAGCCGGACAAUGUAGCUAAAUAUUUGAAGCACAAUAUUGGGGGCUGGGGGGCUGAGAACAACGUAAAGCAUUAACCAAGCUUCCUUGGUUGAUUUGUUUUGUUUCAUUUUCCCCCUCCUCCCCCCUCCCAAUGGGAAUGAUCACCACCAGUUGCUCAUCUUUUUUUGUGAGUGUUGGUUCUUACUCUUGAAGCCAAGCGUUAAUUUUUCAAGGGUGAGAAGAGAGGGAUGUUACUAUGGAGCCAGCCAACUUUUUGUUUCAUUGUUACCGUCUAUAUUCUCUAUCUGCAGAAAGAACCGACUGUGCCAAAAUACAAUACUACCGUGAGUAAAUGCCUCCUGCACUUUUAAAUAAUAACCUACAAUUCAACAAAACAGCUUCACAUCAGAAUGGUAUUAAAUACUCACUUGUUUACGCCUCGUACCUGAAAUGCAUCCUCUCUGCACGCUGCAUUGGUGACCCUACUGAGCCUGCCACUGGAGAGCUCCUUACGGCUGGUGUAGCUGGUGUCACCUGCCCACACCAGGCACCAAAUUCCAAGCCGUGUGUUUCAAUCCUGAGCCUUUCUUUACAUUUUUCAGUGCACCCUUUGGUACAGAAUGCAGAUGUCUUCCCACUCAGCCCAAAAUAAACCACUUCUCCUUUUGCUUUCUUCUCACGAUGGUGGAAAGCAGUGUAGAAUUAGAAAUCUAUACUACUCAAAGUACCACCAGCAUUGGCAAGUUCAUGUUUUAUAAAAGUAUGAGGAUCGGUUCACCUCUAAUAUACUUAUUAGCAAUCUUCCACAGGCAGAAGAGCUAAAUCCAAGUCACUUAUAAAAGUGGCACUGUGUUUUUUUUAUGCAGCAUUUGUGUGUACAAAAUAAACAAUAAAUUAUAAACUAUACAAUCAA
ensembl:lncRNA